ensembl:snRNA U6 U6 spliceosomal RNA
GUGCUCGCUACGGUGGCACAUAUACUAAAAUUGGAUUGAUACAGAGAAGAUUAGCAUGGUCCCUGCGCAAAGGA